rnacentral:antisense_RNA from 1 species
CGUUAUGGCGGCUGUGCGUGGGACACCUCACGGUGUGCCGGUUUCCUUUGUGACCGGUCGGCCAACCCGCGUACAGUCGCCCCCAUU